rnacentral:rRNA from 1 species
GAUGAACGCUGGCGGCGUGCCUAAUACAUGCAAGUCGAGCGAAUGGAUUAAGAGCUUGCUCUUAUGAAGUUAGCGGCGGACGGGUGAGUAACACGUGGGUAACCUGCCCAUAAGACUGGGAUAACUCCGGGAAACCGGGGCUAAUACCGGAUAACAUUUUGAACCGCAUGGUUCGAAAUUGAAAGGAGGCUUCGGCUGUCACUUAUGGAUGGACCCGCGUCGCAUUAGCUAGUUGGUGAGGUAACGGCUCACCAAGGCAACGAUGCGUAGCCGACCUGAGAGGGUGAUCGGCCACACCGGGACUGAGACACGGCCCAGACUCCUACGGGAGGCAGCAGUAGGGAAUCUUCCGCAAUGGACGAAAGUCUGACGGAGCAACGCCGCGUGAGUGAUUAAGGCUUUCGGGUCGUAAAACUCUGUUGUUACGGAAGAACAAGUGCUAGUUGAAUAAGCUGGCACCUUGACGGUACCUAACCAGAAAGCCACGGCUAACUACGUGCCAGCAGCCGCAGUAA